rnacentral:lncRNA from 1 species
AGCAGGACCCUCCACACUUGGCGUCAGGCUGAGGCAGGACCUUCCACCUUUCCCACACCCCGCGGGUUUCGGGCAGGACCCACACUCCCCCGGCGCUCUCCAUCUUCUCCCCUGCUCCAACUUUGCCCGGGCUCCGUCGCCAUCCCCACGGUGCCCACGGUGCCGACCACCCCCAUCUCCCUGACGAGAUCCGCGGGCACGCGCGCGACUCUCCCCCCUCCCCUCCCCUCCCUUCAGGAGCGGCGCGGCCCCGCCCGGCGGGGAGGGGUGCGGGGGGAGGCGGGGCGGCACCGCCUUCGCCGGGCGGCUUUGGCGCGGAGCGGCGACAGCAGCCGUGACCUCCGACCCCUCCCGGCGCUGGCCAAUAAGAGCGCGGCUCGUCCCCGAACCCAAAAUUUCCACGUCGGCAAAAGUCAAGAUGGAGCGGGGCGGCGCGGGGCCGCGCGGGGCGGCGCGGGGCGCGGGCACCCGCACGGGACGGGACGGGACCGGCCCGGCCCGGCUGGGCUCGGCUCGGCUGGGCUCGGCUCAGCCGGGCGGAGGGGGGCGGACCUGUUGCGCUCGGCGGCGGGGCUGAGGGAAGCGCUGCGGCGAGCCGCGAGACGGGUCUGGUCUCCUGAAGCAAAGUUCUGUGACACUCCGACUCUGGUUACGAUAGCAGUCAGUGCACUACAGAACUUUGUCUCCGGGGGCUGCUGCUGCUGCCCCCCCAGCUGGACACGUCACGGCAGGCCCGGCGGAGCGGCCAGCAGAGGGGCUUUGAGGGCUGAGAAGGGACAGGCCACGAUCAGCUUCCUUCCACUUCAGUUGAAGUUGGAGUCUGGCAGCAGCACAAUGGAGGCCCAUCUCUCUUCAGAAACUUUGCACAGCCUCUUGACGUGUAAGCAGCCACGGAGCUCUUGUGAGGACGUAAUCAACCAAUGGGCUCUCGACAUAAUGAGCAUAACGUGA